UUUUUAUGGAGAGUUUGAUCCUGGCUCAGGAUGAACGCUGGCGGCGUGCCUAAUACAUGCAAGUCGAGCG
rnacentral:rRNA from 1 species